rnacentral:lncRNA from 1 species
ACAGCCUCUCUCUGGCGUGCGUGGAGGAGGUGGAGUCCGUCUGCGAAGAGACCUGCGGGAUUCAGUGCCCUACGAGGCCCAGAUGAUGUCUUACCCUGCUGCUGACUUCAGGAGCCGAAGCAAUGAUCUCUACUACCAGCCAGAGGUCUUAAGAGCUCAGGGUCUUGGACAAGCCCUCCAGCGACUGGUGGAGAACGAUCAGAGGCGGGAACAGGAAGCAGCUUAUCUGGCAUCAAUGCUGCGGCUCCUGAACGAGGCACAGAAUAACGGACAGGGCAAACCUGAGGAAGAGGAGGAGGAGGGUGACUUCCAGGCCCCGUACCCUCCGGACUACGAUGAGACCGAGCAGCCCCAGGCUUCACGGCAGGGCCUUCUGGAUCCUCAGCUUACUCAGGCUCUACUCAACCGCUACAAGCAGGAGAGACUGAUGCAGGCUGGACUUGCUCCGAACACCAACAGGAUUCCUGAGAGAGAGCAGGACAAAGACCAAGAGAUGCUCAGGUACCUUGUUGAGAAGAUUCUCUCCAGCUUGGCAUCGGCUGGCAAUCAGGGAGGACCUUCAAACCAGCGUGCUAAGCGGGACCUGAGCGCUGUGGCCAACAUGGAGCAAUAUGGAGGACCCACCCUAAAACGCUCCCGUCGGUCCCUGGACUCCAUCCCUGGCCCCUCCCCUCAGGUCGAGGCAUCACUGCUGAGGGUGAAACGGCUCGAUGGCGACGUGGACGAUGACGAGGUCGCAGGGCAGAACAACAGAACACCACACGUCAGCCUGCAGAGAAUGAAGCGCAUAGACACUGACCUGCCGCCCCCCAAAAAACACAGCCGCAAGCGCAGAGCCCUGACCUACGACCCCGCUCUGAUCGCACAGCACAUCCUGCAGUACCUGCCAGCCUAAAGAGUAGAAGAAAGUGAGAGGAAUAACAAGGAAAUGUUUGGGGGAAAGUAGAGGGAAAUCUAGACAGACAGAGGGACUGCAACAUUUCACUAGCUUACAGAUUCGCCAGUGUUCAUUGUCAUCUGCCUAAAUCUAAUCAAGGCCUGCUUGCCGAGGUACUCUGAUAUGAUGUUACUCUGUUUCAAUGUUAUACUAUAAUAAAUCCCACACACAUAACAGCUUAUGGAAUAUGCUUUUUGUUUUUCUUCUUUCUGGCUACAUUCUACAGUAUUGAAGGCUUUUCUGCCAAAAAAUUAAAAAGGUAAUUGCAAAAGGUAAUUGCAAAAAGGUAAUCACAUCUCGCAAUUCUGACAUUUUUUCUAAGAUUUAUGAGAGUUCUGUACUUUUUUUUCUCAGAUUUGCUAUAAAGUCAGAACUGUGUGAUCGUAAGUCUCAGUUACCUUUUUAAUUUUUUGUGUUCCAUGGUGGAAACAGGCUUCCAUAGUACAGGCAUUAAAUGAACUUACCAACAUGGAAAUGAUCAUCACUGACUGGCUUGCACAAGUAGCUCAUCGCUGUUUUUGUCAGAAUCAACAGGAUCAAGGUCACACUAAUCUUUAUUACAGACUGAGAUGGUUUUAAAUGAUGCUUCACUAUAAAUAAGAUCUGUUGAAAUGCUGUUGAUAACUCGCUUGGUCCUUAAAAAAAAAAAACACAGCUUGACCAGCAUUUAGGUGAUGUUUUGUCGUGUGCAUUCUCCCUAAUGCAUACAACAAUAUUACCCAGAAUCCCUGAGUUUCUCAACAGAGAACUUCUGCUGUGUAACUGAAUGGCAGCUCUAUAUGGAAACUAAAGUGAUUUCUGGGAUGCUAUAUUGAUUUUUUUAUGUGAAAGACAUAGAUGAAAUAGUUAUCAGGAGUAAGCCACUGAGAAUUAUAAAUAUUAUAUAAUCUAAUAUAAUUAAACUACUGUUUAAAAGUUUGAGGUCAGAAAUUUAUCUGACCUGUUUUAAAUUGUAAUAACAUUCCACAAUAUUAAUAAUUUACUGUAGCGUUAUCAAAUAAAUGCCUUGAGCAAAAUAGACUUACAUCAACAUUAAAACAUUAAAAACAAUCUUAAGACUCCAACAUUUUGAACAGAAACAUUUAGAUCCAAAUGGCAAUGAAUCUAAACAGAACAUCUCUAGCUAUAAACUGUUUAAAUAAUUCAUAUCAGUCUAUUUCACUUACUGUGUGAAACAGGCCUUAUAUGUCAUAUUUAAAGACUUAUGAAUCAGAUCAGUUGAAUGUUUGACAUUGCUAUAUCUACUCCUAUACCUAUUGUAUACUGUUUUAGAAAUAAGCUACAUUUAUUUUUAUUUUUAUGUAAUUUUUUUCUGGGAACAAAUGAUUAAGAAACAAAAAUGAUUGAAAUCUAUUUAUUGCAUAAGAUGUCUGGUACAGGUUUAAACAGCAGCACAAUAUCAGAUCAGCUGCUUUAUACAGCAGUAAGCAGCACUACAAGAGUUUAGACUCAAAAUGAGUCUGUCUAAAUGUCAAACCUGCUCUGAGUGAGUUUCCUGUCCUCUCUUUCUCUGAUUGGCUGUCUGAAGUGGUGUACCAUCUUCUUAGUGUCAUAUGCAUCCUAUUCAAGCUUGAUGAAGUGUAUUUUGUCCCUUGACUUGACUUCGAAACAUUCUGUCUGAUACUAAUCACUGUCCCAACUUCUUGCCCUCUGGGUUUGUAAUCUGACUAUUAUGAAUUUGUGAAAGAAAUCGUGGCUCUUAGUAUAUUUAAAAGCUUUUCGAUAUAUUUGUGCAGUCAUAAAAUCUUGUACAAAAAUACAUAUCUCUGCACUGCGAGUUUUGUCAAACAACAAAAAUCACUGUAAGUGCUAAUAAAGUGUAUGUGAACACCAAUAUUUUGUUUAGAACUUUGCAUUGCUUUUACGGUGGCAGUGGGUUAGAAAUGACCUCACAUUUAACAUUUAAUGCAACAGCUUGAUAAAAUCAUAGCCUAUUAGCAUUGCAUCUAAACAGAAGCUUACUCAACUAAGACAAUGGCUGAAGACAAUUACAAAUACAACAGUGGCUUGCAGACUUAAUGUUAGCAUCAACUUUAUUACUGUAUUGUAAAGUAUAUCCAUGUUAAAGGGGAAAGGGGCAGAUCUUAAAGGAAUAGUUCACCCAGAAUUAAAAAUUUGCUCAAAAUAAGUUCAUCCUCAGGAUAUCCAAGAUGUAGAUGAGUUUGUUUCUUCAUCAGAACAGAUUUGGAGAAAUUUAGCAUGACAUCACUUGCUCACCAAUGGAUCCCUCUGCAGUGAAUGGGUGCCAUCAGAAUGUGAGUCCAAACAGCUGAUAAAAACAUUACAAUAAUCCACAAGCAGUCCACAUGAAUCCAGUCCAUCAAUUCACAUCUUGUGACGUAAAAAACUGAGUGUCUGAAGAAAACAUUAAGGCAUUUUAACUUUAAAAUGUCACUUCCGGCAAAAAAAAACAGUCCAUAAGCCAAAAACGUAAAAACUGAGUGUCUGAAGAAAACAUUAAGGCAUUUUAACUUUAAAAUGUCACUUCCGGCAAAAAAAACAGUCCAUAAGCCAAAAUGUCCAUCUCUCAAAUCAAAAUCCAACAAAAUAUUUGUUUAGAACUGUUUUCGCUUGUAAACGCUGCUAGAUCUGUGCAAAUUUCUCUCCUGAUUCAGAUGAGAUGACUUUUUCACAUAAAAAAGCAAUAUUAUGGAUGGAGGGCUCAGAUUUUAGCCAUGGUUAAAAACAUCUUAGUAAUGGAUUUGUUUCUUGCAAACACUAAGCUUUUCACUUCACAAGAUGUUAACUGAAGGAUUGGAGUGGUGUGGGUUAUUGUGAUUAUUGUGGACUCUCAUUUCUGACGGCACCCAUUCACUGCACAGGAUUCAGUUGUGAGCAAGUGAUGUUGAAGAAACAAACUCAUUCAGAUCUUGGAUAAGAAAGUAAUUCUGAUUUAAUCUUGGAUAAGAAAGUAAAUUCUGAUUUAAUGCCAACUAUAAAUAUGAACAAUUAUUUGCUACUUUUAGCCUAAAGAUGAUCAAAUCAGUAAAUCCACAUGUUCAAGGCUUUACUGACAAAAAACAACAACAAAACUAACUAAACAGAUUAAUAGUUUAUAAUGCUGAAUAUCUAACUACAUUUCACUCCAGUCCUCAUCUUGAAUUCAUGCACAGAAACAUCCAUAACACAGAAUCAAACAUCACAGUUAAUCGUCUAAACAUCAUUUAACUGAAAACCACAUUGAUGUGAUCUGUUCGUGCAUCGCAGCAGGUCACAGAGACCUCGACUGUACCUCCACUUGGAAAUGCACUAAAGAAAAUGGCCUUUCCUCUUCUCUUUUAAGCCACCAUUACAAGAUCAGAGUAAUGUUCCUCUGCCAGGGGAGAAAGGACUCGGAUACUGUUGCCAGGUGACUGUUUCUAUGCAGACAGGUUAUGUAAGCAGAAUUCACAGGAUGAUGAUGACAUCAUGCUGAGGGGGAAAAGAUCGUCUCUUCACACGGUUUAUGUCAUCAUUAUUUGUCGAAAGAGAAGAGCACAAACGACGUGAUGAAACAGCCACCUGAGAGGGUGAGAAAGAACAGUGAGGUUUGUUACAGAAGAGAGCUACUGCCAGAAAAACAAUCCCCAGAAAACCAGACUACUGUCUUACCAGCAGUUUCUGACUGGUGAGAACAGCUCAGGCCUGUCUUAUGCUGCCAGUAACAAGCCAGUCACUGAGAAGAGGGGGAGAGAACAACAUUACAUGAUUAACAUAUCUGUGUGUAGAGAAUAACAUGAAAAAUGAGUGUAAUUAAUAUUAUACUAAAUAAAUAAGAAAGAUAUUCAAGCAAGCAGUUCAGCUUCACUUAGCACCACAAUAUCACAAUCACAAGGAAAGUUGAUUAAUUAAUUUAUAUAUUAUAUAUAUAUAUAUAUAUAUAUAUAUAAAAAUAAACUAAUGUAUAAAUAUAUUAGUCAAAAUGUGCUUGUAACGAAGGCGUAUUUUUUUUUUUUUUUUUCAGUUUAAUGCAUUAAUAAUAUUUAACAUAGGGGCGAGGCUAGGGUUGGCCACCCCACUCACAACUGCU